CAAGCAGGUCGGUUGACCGCCUCGAUGUAUGUCGGGGAGGAAAGUCCGGGCUCCAGAAAGCAAGAUGUCCUGUAACAUAGGAUGGAAGCAAUUCCGAGGAAAGUGCAGCAGAAAGCAAACUUCCAAGUGUCUAAUUAGACACUUGGAAAAGUUGAAAUGGUGUGGUAAGAGCACACCGGUCUGAUGGUAAUGUCAGGCGCAUGGCAAACCCCAUCUGGAGAAAGGCUAAGUAAGAGGGAAGAGGCUGCUCGUCUCAAUUUAACCCUUGGGUAGGCCGCUAGAGACCGAUAGCAAUGUCGGUACAAGAUAGAUGGUCAACUGCUACAGAAUCCGGCUUAUAGACCUGCUUGUUUU
rnacentral:RNase_P_RNA from 1 species